UACGAAGGGGGCUAGCGUUGUUCGGAAUCACUGGGCGUAAAGCGCACGUAGGCGGAUUUUUAAGUCAGGGGUGAAAUCCCGAGGCUCAACCUCGGAACUGCCUUUGAUACUGGGGAUCUGGAGUCCGGGAGAGGUGAGUGGAACUGCGAGUGUAGAGGUGAAAUUCGUAGAUAUUCGGAAGAACACCAGUGGCGAAGGCGACUUACUGGACACAUAUUGACGCUGAGGUGCGAAAGCGUGGGGAGCAAACAGG
rnacentral:rRNA from 1 species